CGGCGGACGGGUGAGUAACACGUGGGUAACCUGCCUGUAAGACUGGGAUAACUCCGGGAAACCGGAGCUAAUACCGGAUAGUUCCUUGAACCGCAUGGUUCAAGGAUGAAAGACGGUUUCGGCUGUCACUUACAGAUGGACCCGCGGCGCAUUAGCUAGUUGGUGAGGUAACGGCUCACCAAGGCGACGAUGCGUAGCCGACCUGAGAGGGUGAUCGGCCACACUGGGACUGAGACACGGCCCAGACUCCUACGGGAGGCAGCAGUAGGGAAUCUUCCGCAAUGGACGAAAGUCUGACGGAGCAACGCCGCGUGAGUGAUGAAGGUUUUCGGAUCGUAAAGCUCUGUUGUUAGGGAAGAACAAGUGCAAGAGUAACUGCUUGCACCUUGACGGUACCUAACCAGAAAGCCACGGCUAACUACGUGCCAGCAGCCGCGGUAAUACGUAGGUGGCAAGCGUUGUCCGGAAUUAUUGGGCGUAAAGGGCUCGCAGGCGGUUUCUUAAGUCUGAUGUGAAAGCCCCCGGGCUCAACCGG
rnacentral:rRNA from 1 species